UACAGAGCACACAUAAGUGUCUGCCGUGA
rnacentral:piRNA from 1 species